UACGGGAGCAGCAGUAGGGAAUAUUGGGCAAUGGGCGCAAGCCUGACCCAGCAACGCCGCGUGAGGGAAGAAGGCUUUCGGGUUGUAAACCUCUGUCCUUGGUGACGAAACAAAUGACGGUAGCCAAGGAGGAAGCCCCGGCUAACUACGUGCCAGCAGCCGCGGUAAU
rnacentral:rRNA from 1 species